rnacentral:SRP_RNA from 1 species
GCGGGAGCCCGAGCUAUUAUUGGA